AUGGGCUGCAUUUGGAGACGGGCCUCGGUGGCCGGGCAUUUUCCUGGCAUCGUGGGACUGACUGCCUUUUGUACUGCAUGGCCGGGGCCCGGCCGGGAGGAGCAGAGGCCAGCUGCUUCAUCUGUGAAAUGAACUGGACGUGCCUCUCUCACCAGCUUCGAGGGAUGCUACUGACAAGACCUUCCAAGGACUCUUAGAACAAGGUCUCGGGUGAAUGUGUCAGCUGUUUCUUGCCAGGACCCUGACGGGCAUAAGCGGAUACACUCUUCGUCACCCAAUCUGGGAAAAAUGUAUUCUAAGGAAGAAGGCUUCCAAGUACCCGAUAGAGAACACAGGCUUGGGGAUCAGACAGGCUGCAGCUCAAAUCCCUAUUAGCCGCUUACUAGCUCAGUGAACCUGGACAGGUUCUGUCCUGACUCCGAGCCUGCUUCCUCAUCUGCGCGGCGAGAUAGAGAUGCGCGCAGGCGGCAUCUUCCCGGAGGCCGUCGUGGGGCUGAGGACCACCAUCCCCGCAGCCCCGCACCUGCCCGCCGAUCACGGCCGCUCAGGGCAGCCCUUUCUCUCCUUCUGCCUCUUCUUUCGACUCCUUUUUUCCUUUCUUAGAGGCAAGACAUUUUUGUUUUAUUUUAAUUUUUUUUCACCUUUGUACUUCUGUUAGGCUGUACCUAAUGAAAAUCGUUCCCACUGGGGUGCGCCCAGUGGCUCAGACACGUUCUGUUCCUUCUAACCUCCCAAUGGUCACAAAUGGCUAUUAAGCGGAAGGACAUCAGCGCCUCUGAUCAGAGUGGAAGGCAAAAAUUGAAUAUUGCUAAAAUUAUUCUUGAAAAUCCUUUAAAAAUAUCUACCCAUAAAUGUUGGUGUAUUUGGUUUGGGAUGUGUUCUCUGCACCAUGGGCAUAUUAAUAUUCUAGAAUGUAUACGGCAAGGUACAGUAUAUUAAAGACUAUAAAUGCAAAAUAUCAUUUCGCAGUAUUUCAAUUACAGAAGGAGACAGAGACCAUGUGCAGUUGAUUUUGCUGGAGUCAAAAUCACCUGAGAUACAUUAGUACUGAUUUUACCAAUAAAGACAUUGAGGCUCAGAGAGGGCAAGCAGUUUGUCUAAGGGCACACAGCCAAUAAGUGGCAGAGUCAAAAUUCAAAUCCAGAUGUAUCUGACUCCAACUUCUGUUUUUACCUCGUGCCCUGAUGUCUGGAUUUAUGUGAGUUUGAAUAAACAAACCCUCAAAGCCGGUAUCAUCAAAAUGACUUUCGGGAAACAGCUUCAGAUACUGGGCCUGUUGCUUGUUUUCUUCCCAGUUGCUAGGUUUCACGGGGCCUUAGAUCAACCGAGUGGGGAGACCCAGGACCCUGGGCCCAGCCUGGGAGGGUACACAGCACCCACUCUUCCCUGCCGACCUGGA